rnacentral:rRNA from 1 species
CACUAUCGUUAACUGAAUACAUAGGUUAACGAGGCGAACCGGGGGAACUGAAACAUCUAAGUACCCCGAGGAAAAGAAAUCAACCGAGAUUCCCCCAGUAGCGGCGAGCGAACGGGGAGCAGCCCAGAGUCUGAAUCAGCUUGUGUGUUAGUGGAACGGUCUGGAAAGUCCGACGGUACAGGGUGAUAGUCCCGUACACCAAAAUGCACAGGUUGUGAACUCGAAGAGUAGGGCGGGACACGUGGUAUCCUGUCUGAAUAUGGGGGGACCAUCCUCCAAGGCUAAAUACUCCUGACUGACCGAUAGUGAACCAGUACCGUGAGGGAAAGGCGAAAAGAACCCCGGCGAGGGGAGUGAAAAAGAACCUGAAACCGUGUACGUACAAGCAGUGGGAGCACCUUCGGGUGUGACUGCGUACCUUUUGUAUAAUGGGUCAGCGACUUAUAUUCUGUAGCAAGGUUAACCGUAUAGGGGAGCCGCAGGGAAACCGAGUCUUAACUGGGCGUUAAGUUGCAGGGUAUAGACCCGAAACCCGGUGAUCUAGCCAUGGGCAGGUUGAAGGUUGGGUAACACUAACUGGAGGACCGAACCGACUAAUGUUGAAAAAUUAGCGGAUGACUUGUGGCUGGGGGUGAAAGGCCAAUCAAACCGGGAGAUAGCUGGUUCUCCCCGAAAGCUAUUUAGGUAGCGCCUCGUGAAUUCAUCUUCGGGGGUAGAGCACUGUUUCGGCUAGGGGGUCAUCCCGACUUACCAACCCGAUGCAAACUACGAAUACCGAAGAAUGUUAUCACGGGAGACACACGGCGGGUGCUAACGUCCGUCGUGAAGAGGGAAACAACCCAGACCGCCAGCUAAGGUCCCAAAGUCAUGGUUAAGUGGGAAACGAUGUGGGAAGGCACAGACAGCCAGGAUGUUGGCUUAGAAGCAGCCAUCAUUUAAAGAAAGCGUAAUAGCUCACUGGUCGAGUCGGCCUGCGCGGAAGAUGUAACGGGGCUAAACCAUGCACCGAAGCUGCGGCAGCGACACUAUGUGUUGUUGGGUAGGGGAGCGUUCUGUAAGCCUGCGAAGGUGACCUGUGAGGGUUGCUGGAGGUAUCAGAAGUGCGAAUGCUGACAUAAGUAACGAUAAAGCGGGUGAAAAGCCCGCUCGCCGGAAGACCAAGGGUUCCUGUCCAACGUUAAUCGGGGCAGGGUGAGUCGACCCCUAAGGCGAGGCCGAAAGGCGUAGUCGAUGGGAAACAGGUUAAUAUUCCUGUACUUGGUGUUACUGCGAAGGGGGGACGGAGAAGGCUAUGUUAGCCGGGCGACGGUUGUCCCGGUUUAAGCAUGUAGGCUGGUU